rnacentral:rRNA from 1 species
UACGGAGGGUGCAAACGUUGCUCGGAAUCAUUGGGCGUAAAGCGCACGUAGGCGGUCCAGUAAGUCGGGUGUGAAAGCCCUCGGCUUAACCGAGGAAGUGCAUUCGAAACUGCUGGACUUGAAUACUGGAGAGGAUCGCGGAAUUCCCGGUGUAGAGGUGAAAUUCGUAGAUAUCGGGAGGAACACCAGUGGCGAAGGCGGCGAUCUGGACGGUAACUGACGCUGAGACGCGAAAGCGUGGGGAGCAAACAGG